CCAAAGAUACAAAAUAUCAAGCUCCUAACUCAGCCUGCGAAGUCAAGACUGGCCGGAGAAUAUUUACACAUAUAUAUACAUACAUAUCCAAAACCCAAAAGUACAUAUACACAAUCCUGCCUCUCCAUAAACCUCUAAGAGGAUCAAAAAGAAUAAGUCAUGCGGAGAGAAAACUAAGUACAUAUAUAUACAUCAUAGCAUAACAAAAUAUCCCAGUAACCACUCCGCUUCAAGAGUCCAGACGCCUAACGAGAUGCCUCUCGACCUGCAUCU
rnacentral:lncRNA from 1 species